GAAUUCACUAGUGAUUAGAGUUUGAUCCUGGCUCAGAUUGAACGCUGGCGGCAUGCCUUACACAUGCAAGUCGAACGGUAACAGGUCUUCGGAUGCUGACGAGUGGCGAACGGGUGAGUAAUACAUCGGAACGUGCCCGAUAGUGGGGGAUAACGAAGCGAAAGCUUUGCUAAUACCGCAUACGAUCUCAGGAUGAAAGCAGGGGACCGCAAGGCCUUGCGCUCACGGAGCGGCCGAUGGCAGAUUAGGUAGUUGGUGGGAUAAAAGCUUACCAAGCCGACGAUCUGUAGCUGGUCUGAGAGGACGACCAGCCACACUGGGACUGAGACACGGCCCAGACUCCUACGGGAGGCAGCAGUGGGGAAUUUU
rnacentral:rRNA from 1 species